CUUGGUCAUUUAGAGGAASUAAAAGUCGUAACAAGGUUUCCGUAGUGAACCUGCGGAAGGAUCAUUAAUGAAAGCUCGAGCUGGGGUUGUCGCUGGCCCUCCGGGGCAAUCGUGCACGCCUUUGUCUCAACUCUCAACUCAACCCCCCCCUGUGUGCAUCCUCGCGUGGGUCCCGAGCGUCGGUUCGCUCGAGGCUCGCGUCCUUUUCUACAAAAACCUCCCGGGUACGUCGGAACGUGAGUCGCUGUAGAAGCGAAUCGUAGUACAACUUUCAACAACGGAUCUCUUGGCUCUCGCAUCGAUGAAGAACGCAGCGAAAUGCGAUAAGUAAUGUGAAUUGCAGAAUUCAGUGAAUCAUCGAAUCUUUGAACGCACCUUGCGCCCCUUGGUAUUCCGAGGGGCACGCCUGUUUGAGUAUCAUGAAAUUCUCAACCCGACCUCCUUUUGAAAGGGGGGGGGAGGGCUUGGAUUUUUGGAGGACUUUGCCCGUUUCCCUUUGUUGUGGGACCUGGCUCCUCUCGAAUGCAUAUGGGUGGGGCUUCGUCUGCCUCUCGGCGUGAUAGUUCGUCUGCGUCGAUCGGUGGAAGGAGAGAAAAGCCUCGCUAGAGAAACGACGCUUCAUCGGAAGCAUGACCCUUUUGAUCUCAAAUCAGGCGGGACUACCCGCUGAACUUAAGCAUAUCAAUAAGCGGAGGA
rnacentral:misc_RNA from 1 species